rnacentral:rRNA from 1 species
GGACGAACGCUGGCGGCGUGCUUAACACAUGCAAGUCGAGCGAUGAAGCUUCCUUCGGGAAGUGGAUUAGCGGCGGACGGGUGAGUAACACGUGGGUAACCUGCCUCAAAGUGGGGGAUAGCCUUCCGAAAGGAAGAUUAAUACCGCAUAAUAUGAGAGAAUCGCAUGAUUUUCUUAUCAAAGAUUUAUUGCUUUGAGAUGGACCCGCGGCGCAUUAGCUAGUUGGUAAGGUAACGGCUUACCAAGGCAACGAUGCGUAGCCGACCUGAGAGGGUGAUCUGCCACAUUGGAACUGAGACACGGUCCAGACUCCUACGGGAGGCAGCAGUGGGGAAUAUUGCGCAAUGGGGGAAACCCUGACGCAGCAACGCCGCGUGGGUGAUGAAGGUCUUCGGAUUGUAAAGCCCUGUUUUCUGGGACGAUAAUGACGGUACCAGAGGAGGAAGCCACGGCUAACUACGUGCCAGCAGCCGCGGUAAUACGUAGGUGGCGAGCGUUGUCCGGAUUUACUGGGCGUAAAGGGUGCGUAGGCGGAUGUUUAAGUGGGAUGUGAAAUCCCCGGGCUUAACCUGGGGGCUGCAUUCCAAACUGGAUAUCUAGAGUGCAGGAGAGGAAAGCGGAAUUCCUAGUGUAGCGGUGAAAUGCGUAGAGAUUAGGAAGGACACCAGUGGCGAAGGCGGCUUUCUGGACUGUAACUGACGCUGAGGCACGAAAGCGUGGGUAGCAACUGGAUUAGAUACCCUGGU